rnacentral:rRNA from 1 species
CAGGAGGCAGCAGUAGGGAAUUUUGCGCAAUGGGCGAAAGCCUGACGCAGCAACGCCGCGUGCGGGAUGAAGGCCUUCGGGUCGUAAACCGCUUUCAGCAGGGACCAAAAUGAGUGUACCUGCAGAAGAAGCCCCGGCUAACUACGUGCCAGCAGCCGCGGUAAUACGUAGGGGGCAAGCGUUAUCCGGAUUCAUUGGGCGUAAAGCGCGCGUAGGCGGCUUGUUAAGUCAGGUGUGAAAACCGGGGGCUCAACCCGCGGACUGCAUCUGAAACUGGCAGGCUUGAGUCUGGUAGAGGAGUGUGGAAUUCCUAGUGUAGCGGUGAAAUGCGCAGAUAUUAGGAGGAACACCAGUGGCGAAGGCGGCACUCUGGGCCACGACUGACGCUGAGGCGCGAAAGCUAGGGGAGCAAACAGGAUUAGAAACCCCAGUAGUCCA